rnacentral:lncRNA from 1 species
GGAGGCUCCCGGGCCCGGGCUGCCCCAGGCAGGCUGGCCUUUAAGGGCGGCCCCCUGUCGCCCAAAGGGAGUCGUUCUCCCCUCGCCUCUUUUCUUACCUAAACCCAUCCCUCUAUACACACACACACACACACACACACACACACACACACACACACACACACACGCUCUCACAGCUUGGCGUGUUGUUUAAAACAGGUGGAAGACCUCUGUAAUGAUAUUAUGCCUUUCAAUAAAAAUUUUAUGAGGUGUAUUUGAUUAUAGAUUAAUGUGUCCCUAAUAAAACGGACGGAUGGAGCAGCUCGGAGUGCCCCUCCCUCUACCGCGCUCACACUCCCGGGGCAGCCACAUGUCCUUGAUCCACCCCCUUUCCAGUUUUCCCCUUGAGAGGUAAGGCCGGGCAGCCUUGAAUCUGAGAGAAAUGC